GAGCAGCAGCAGCAGCAGCUGCUGCUGCUGCAGCUGCUGCUGCUGCUGCUGCUGCAGCUGCUGCUGCUGCUGCAGCUGCUGCUGCUGCUGCAGCUGCUGCUGCUGCUGCUGCUGCAGCUGCUGCUGCUGCUCCUGCUGCAGCAGCAGCUGCUGCUGCUGCUGCUGCUACUGCUGCAACUGCUGCUUUGCUUCUGCUGCUGCAGCUGCUGCUGCUGCUACUGCUGCAGCAGCAGCAGCAGCUACUGCUGCUGCUGCAGCAGCUGCUGCUGCUGUUGAAAUAU
rnacentral:sRNA from 1 species